rnacentral:rRNA from 1 species
AGUGAACGCUGGCGGUAGGCCUAACACAUGCAAGUCGAACGGCAGCACAGUAAUAGCUCGCGCUUACGGCUGCCGAGUGGCGGACGAGGCCGAAGUACAUGCGAAUCUACUUUUGCUAGGGGCCGAACAUAGGCACAAUUACCCUAAAAGCGCAUACGACCUAAGGGUGAAAUCAGGGGAUCUUCCGAUCUCAGCUGAUCCUAUGACCGGAUGUCUAGUUAGCUAGUUGGAGGGGUAAAGGCCCACCAAUGCGAAGAUCCUUAGAUGGUCUGAGAGGAUGAUCAGUCAAACUGGAACUGAGACACGGUGGAGAGUGCUAGGGGAGGCAGCAGUGGGGAAUAUGGGACAAUGGUCGAAAUCCUGAUUCAGCAAUGCCGCGUGUGUGAAGAAGGGCUUCGGAUUGUAAAACACUUUAAGUUGGGAGGAAGGGCAGUAAGUUAAUACCGUGCUGUUUUGACGUGACACACAGAGUAAGCACCGGCUAACUUCGUG